UCCCUGGUAGCUCAGACGGUAAAGCGUCUGCCUGAAAUGCGGGAGACCUGGGUUCAAUCCCCGGGUCAGGAAG